GGACGUUCCCGAGCAGGCCGCUGCCGUCCAGGAGGACGUGUCCAAGGUUCCCGAGGCUGUGCCCGAUGCCGAGGCGGUGUUCGAAGCGGUGCCUGAUGCGGUGGCCGAGGCGGUUCCCGAUGCAAUGUCCGAUGCCGAGGCGGUGCCCGAUGCCGAGGCGGUGCCCGAUGCCGAGGCGGUGCCCGAUGCCGAGGCGGUGCCUGAUGCGGUGGCCGAGGCGGUUCCCGAUGCCGAGGCGGUGCCCGAGGCGGUGCCCGAUGCCGAGGCGGUGCCCGAUGCGGUUCCCGAGGCGGUGCCCGAUGCCGAGGCGGUGACCGAUGCCGUUCCGGAGGUCGAGGCAGUGACCGAUGCCGUGCCAGAGACGGUGCCAGAGACGGUUCCCGAUGUAAUGCCCGAGACCGAGGCUGUUCCGGAGGUCGAGGCGGUGCCCGAUGUUGUUCCCGAUGCCGAGGCGGUGCCCGAUGUUGUUUCCGAUGCCGAGGCUGUUCCGGAGGUCGAGGCGGUGCCCGAUGUUGUUCCGCAGGUCGAGGCGGUGCCCGAGGCGGUGCCCGAUGCCGAGGCUGUGCCCGAUGCCGAGCCCGAGGCCGUUUCCGAGGCGGUGCCCGAUGCCGAGCCCGAGGCCGUUCCCGAGGCGGUGCCCUUGUCCAAUGCCGUUCCUGAGGCCAUUCCUGAGGCCGUUCCUGAGACCGUUCCCGAGGCGGUGCCCGAUGCCAAGGUCGUUCCCGAGGCGGUGUCCUUGUCCGAUGCCGUUCCUGAGGCCAUUCCCGAGGCGGUGCCCGAUGCUGUUCCGGAGGCCGAUGCGGGGCCCGAGAUGGUUCCGGAGGCGAUACCCGUGUCCAAGGCCGUUCCCGAGGCGGUGCCCUUGUCUGAGGCCGUUCCCGAUGCCGUUCCCAAUGCCGUGACCUGGCCAUCGCCACAGCCUGCUCCUUACUGGCUCCCCGAUUGGCAGGUUCCGUUCGGGCCACUCAAAUGGCGAAUUCCUCCCUGGCCGUCUGCACAACGAGAAUGGACUGAUCCACCGUGGCCACCUGAACUGCCUGGUCCCUCGUGGUCCCCUGAACUUUCGGGUCCACCGUGGCCACCUGAACUG
ensembl:lncRNA